rnacentral:rRNA from 1 species
GAUGAACGCUGGCGGCGUGCCUAAUACAUGCAAGUCGAGCGAACAGACGAGGAGCUUGCUCCUCUGACGUUAGCGGCGGACGGGUGAGUAACACGUAGGUAACCUACCUAUAAGACUGGGAUAACUUCGGGAAACCGGAGCUAAUACCGGAUAAUAUUUCGAACCGCAUGGUUCGAUAGUGAAAGAUGGCUUUGCUAUCACUUAUAGAUGGACCUGCGCCGCAUUAGCUAGUUGGUAAGGUAACGGCUUACCAAGGCAACGAUACGUAGCCGACCUGAGAGGGUGAUCGGCCACACUGGAACUGAGACACGGUCCAGACUCCUACGGGAGGCAGCAGUAGGGAAUCUUCCGCAAUGGGCGAAAGCCUGACGGAGCAACGCCGCGUGAGUGAUGAAGGUCUUCGGAUCGUAAAACUCUGUUAUUAGGGAAGAACAAACGUGUAAGUAACUGUGCACGUCUUGACGGUACCUAAUCAGAAAGCCACGGCUAACUACGUG